rnacentral:rRNA from 1 species
AUGGCCUUCACACGCAUGCUGCUCAUGCAAUUUCAACGAAAAAGGCACAAGAGGGAGAAAGAUGAGUAUUUCAAACAAAAUGGAGGUCUCAAGUUAUAUGAUGAGAUGAGGUCAAGGCAUGUCGACACAAUCCGCAUACUUACAGAGAAAGAGAUAAAGAGAGACACUGACAACUACAAGGAAAAUCGAGUUAUUGGAUGUGGCGGUCAUGGAGCAUCGACAGUCAUGGUAAUCUUCAUAGCAAGUAUCUUCUGCCCAGCAGUGGGAACACUUGCCCGAGCCUCUUCUGGACACUCCAUGUCGUCACCAGCUUGCCCUGACAAGUGCGGCGACGUAUCCAUCCCAUACCCCUUUGGGAUUGGCGCGCACUGUGCUGCAAUCAGCCUCAACAGCUACUUCAACCUCGACUGCGACAGCACGGUCGAUCCACCAAGGCCAACUGUUGGUGAUCCGAAUGUAGCAGCUGAGAUUGCCGACAUCUCACUGAAGAAUGGCGAGAUGCACCUAUACAGCCCCGUCAACCACAUCUGCUUCACGUCGAACACCACAUUCACCAAGUUCACCACAGGGUACGAUCUGAAGCACACGCCCUUCCUCCCGUCACCGUCACACAACCGUUUCACAGUCAUUGGCUGCAACACCCUUGGGCUCAUCACCGGCUACAAAGAAACCGCGGGCCAGUAUGUGACUGGUUGCUACUCGAAUUGCGAGGGCAUCAACAACACGUCUGAGGGCGCGCCAUGCAAUGGGAUGGGCUGUUGUGAGGUUGCCAUCCCCACCAACCUCACCUCCUUGGAGAUCAAAUUUGAGGUGACACAGAGCAGGGUAUGGAGCUUCAACCCAUGCUUCUACGCCAUGGUGGCUGAGGUUGGGUGGUACACCUUCAGGCAGCAGGACCUUGCCGACACUCUUGGGUUCAUCGAUGGUCGAGCUAAGAGAGGUGCUGCCGUUGUUGUCGACUGGGCCAUUAGGAAUGGCUCAUGCCCGGAGAAGGGGAAAGACACACCUACUGACUAUGCUUGCAUUAGUACAAACAGCUAUUGCAUGGCCGCGAACAAUGGUCCAGGAUACUUAUGCCAAUGCUCCGGAGGAUAUGAGGGAAAUCCUUAUCUUCUGAAUGGCUGUCAAGGUUAA